rnacentral:lncRNA from 1 species
GUGGUAAGACAUUUUUUUUUAUCCUUUUUUAAUUUCCUUAGUUACUUCAUAGUUUGUACAACAUCUUUUAUCAUUCUUUACUAACAUUAUUUUAUUAUAUUUUGGCUAAAAUAUGAUUUUAGUCCCUGCAAAUAUGCCUCGUUUUGAUUUUAGUCCCUGGUAAAAAAAAAAUUUGUUUUUGGUUCCUGUAAAAUUUUUUGUUUUUGAAAAUAGUCCCUGACCCCACUUUUGUGAUGAUUUGCAUACGUGACACAUUAUAACUGAACCAAUUUUGUAGUUUUUGGUCCCUGCAAAAUAUUUUGUUUUUAAAAAAGGUCCUUGCAAAAUUUUUUGUUUUUGAAAAUAGUCCCUGAAGCAGGGACCAAAAACAAUUAUUUUUUUACCAGGAACUAAAACCAAAACGAGGCAUAUUUGCAGGAACUAAAACCAUAUUUUAGCCUUAUAUUUUUCAUCACAGCAUAUAUUGAAUGUGAAGUUGAUGAUGAUUGUCCAAAACCAAUGAAAAAUUCAC